rnacentral:misc_RNA from 1 species
GGAAGGAUCAUCGUUGGUGUUUUCUGCUUGUGGGUACAUUUUCUUUCAAAUCCCAACCAAGAGGAGAGGAGUUGACUGAGGCUUGUGUGGAGGGAGAAAAAAAAAGACAACUUUCAACAACGGAUCUCUUGGCUCUCACAUCGAUGAAGAACGUAGCAAAGUGCGAAAAUUAGUGUGAAUUGCAGAAUUCCGUGAAUCAUCGAGUGUUUGAACGCAUCUUGCGCUCCUUGGCAUUCCGGGGAGCAUGUCUGUUUGAGUAUCGUGCUCUGCUUUUGGUCGGUUAUUCUGUUGUCUCUAGGACAAGAGAAGAAACCGGACAUUGAGUGAUGUACCUCUCGAUCUAGUAGUAGUAGAGGUUCCCUCGAAAUGGAGGGUGGCUUUUGUGGCUCGGAUCUCGACACUCUGUGACUGACAUGGAUGGAAUCGCAGUCUGUGCAGAGGCCGAGACAGUCCAGCCCGGCGACCAUCCACUUUGGGGAUGGGCGCAGCCACGAAACGACAUCCAGGAUUGCGCUAGGCACCAGAACACAAAAAGCGAUCUCAAAUCAGACAAGACCACCCGCUGAAUUUAAGCAUAUAAGUAAGCGGAGGAAAAGAAACUAACCAGGAUUCCCCCAGUAACUGCGAGUGAAGCGGGAACAGCUCAACUUUGGAAUCAGCCGGCGGGGUGACAGCCGCGGCCGAAUUGUAGUUUGAAGAAAGAGGCGUUGAGGACAGGGCUCGAAGGGGGGAGCAAGUUCUUUGGAACGAGACAUCGCAGAGGGUGACAAUCCCGUGCCGCGCCCGCACGAGCCAGUCCGCCAAAAGACCCUCUUCUCCAAGAGUCGGGUUGUUUGGGAGUACAGCCCAAAACGGGUGGUAAACUUCAUCCAAGGCUAAAUAACGGUGAGAGACCGAUAGCGAACAAGUACCGUGAGGGAAAGGUGAAAAGCACUCUGAAGAGAGAGUGAAAAGGACGUGAAAUUGUUGAAAGGGAAACGCUUGAACCCAGUCCAGGCCGCCGGGGUCUGUCUGGCGCGCGCGGGCAGCUCUGCUCUCGCGCGCCAGCUGCGACCACCGGGUGUGCGUGCCAACAUCAGUUUGGGCCGAAUGUGGGAAAAGGGCGGCAAGAUCUUUUGGUUGGGCGGUCGGCUCGCAUGGGCCACCGGCCAAGCUUGCCCGCCAGAUACCACAAGACCAGACUGAGGACAGCGGCUUUGGGCGGGCUUUUGGACCUGGGUUAGGCUUGGCCUUGGCAGGGCGGACAGGAGACAGCCCCGCUCGACUCGUGUCGGCCGUGCCUCGGCGCUUGCCACGCCAGGGCCCGUGCGCAGGGUGUGCCAAGCACGCUGCGGGCGGCCCGUCUGCUUGCAGCCCGUCUGCUUGCAAGCCGGAGGAUGUUGGCGAAAUGGGUUCAAACGACCCGUCUUGAAACACGGACCAAGGAGUCUAGCAUGGAUGCGAGUAUUUGGGUGUGGAUAGCCCCAGAUGCGCAAUGAAAGUGAGGUUGCACAAGAGGUGGGAUGCCGCCCUAAAAAGGGAGGCAGCACCAUCGACCGGUCUGGCCAUGGCCUCGGCCUGACAGAACCGAGUAGGAGCAUGCAUGCUGGGACCCGAAAGAUGGUGAACUAUGCCUGAAUAGGGUGAAGUCAGACGAAAGUCUGAUGGAGGCUCGCAGCGAUUCUGACGUGCAAAUCGAUCGUCAAAUUUGGGCAUAGGGGCGAAAGACUAAUCGAACCAUCUAGUAGCUGGUUCCUGC